rnacentral:rRNA from 1 species
GAUGAACGCUAGCGGCAGGCCUAACACAUGCAAGUCGAGGGGUAGAGGAAGCUUGCUUCCUUGAGACCGGCGCACGGGUGCGUAACGCGUACGCAAUCUACCUUUUACAGAGGGAUAGCACAGAGAAAUUUGGAUUAAUACCUCAUAGUAUAUAUCAUUCGAAUGAUUGGUUUAUUAAAGUUCCCACGGUAAAAGAUGAGCAUGCGUCCCAUUGGUUAGUAGGUAAGGUAACGGCUUACCGAGGCGAUGAUGGGUGGGGGUACUGAGGGGGAGAUACCCCACAAUGGUACUGAGGCACAGACCAGAAUCCGACGGGAGGCAGCAGUAAGGAAGAUUAGUCAAUGGACGCAAGUCUGAACAAGCCAUGCCGCGUGCAGGAAGACGGUCCUAUGGAUUGUAAACUGCUUUUGUACGGGAAGAAACACUCCUACGUGUAGGAGCCUGACGGUACCGUAAGAAUAAGGAUCGGCUAACUCCGUGCCAGCAGCCGCCGUAAGAC